UACAGAGGGUGCAAGCGUUGUUCGGAAUUAUUGGGCGUAAAGGGCGUGUAGGCGGUUUUGCUAAGUCAUGUGUGAAAAUCCCUCGGCUUAACCGAGGAACGACGCAUGAUACUGGCAAGCUAGAGUACCAAAGAGGGGGGGUGGAAUUCCCGGCGUAGCGGUGAAAAUGCGUAGAUAUCGGGAGGAACACCGGUGGCGAAGG
rnacentral:rRNA from 1 species